AGGAUGAACGCUGGCGGCGUGCCUAAUACAUGCAAGUCGAACGAGUCCUUCGGGACGAGUGGCGGACGGGUGAGUAACACGUUGGUACCUGCCCCGAAGUGGGGAAUAACUGCCCGAAAGGGUGGCUAAUACCGCAUAAUACCGCAAGGUUAAAGCAGUAAUGCGCUUCGGGAGGGGCCUGCGUCCCAUUAGCUAGUUGGUAGGGUAAUGGCCUACCAAGGCGACGAUGGGUAGCUGGAUCGAGAGGUUGACCAGCCACACUGGGACUGAGAUACGGCCCAGACUCCUACGGGAGGCAGCAGUAAGGAAUCUUCACAAUGGACGAAAGUCUGAUGGAGCAACGCCGCGUGCAGGAUGACGGUCUUCGGAUUGUAAACUGCUUUUAUAUGGGAAGAUUAUGACGGUACAUAUGAAUAAGGACCGGCUAACUACGCGCCAGCAGCCGC
rnacentral:rRNA from 1 species